AUGGUUGAUUUCUUACCACAGAUUAUAAACACCAUAUGAGGAACCUGUAACAAUGAACACUAAGAAGGAUGCUGAAAUUGCUGUUAACACCUAACUGCUACCAUAAUAUUCAUGAAUAUGCUUACAACAACUAAGCAUUAAAGCAUCUGAAGUGAAUUAAUCGACUUUACACACUAAUAUACUGAAGCUUAUCGAAUGCAUUUUGUGGUUUACUUAGCAGUAAGAUCCAAAUCUUAUAUCUUGGUUGAGAUGAUGAUGAGGAUUUAAAAAUUAAAACUGCAAACCUAUGUUUAUGUUCAGAAGUUUAAUGGGCUGUUGCUAAGUCAUCAACUAUAGUCUAUAAUCAAUAUAUUAGAGGACAAAUUAAACAAAAAUUUGAAUAAUGUGGUUAAUGUUACUGAAACAGUUAUUUUAAGACUUCUAUUGCUCUGAUUGAGUAGGUUGUUAACAAAUUAUUGUUCCCAAGGAUCAUGGAUUUGGAAAUUAAAUUAAAUACCCUUUGCCAGUUGCCACACUGAGAACAAGAAAGUUGAAUGGCAGAUUCCCAGUUUGCACAUUCAAAAAUUUCAUUGGUGUUUUGUGUUGCUGUCAUCCAUAUUUGUUUAAUCAAGUGCGUGUUCCAUGUUGACCUUGUUCUGUAGUUGAG
rnacentral:misc_RNA from 1 species